AAUGUGGAAAUAUUUGCGUAAUGCUGCCCAAAAAAUGCAUAAAAAGAAGUAGAAGUCAUUAUAAUCAGUAAAUAUGUCCCCACUGGAUGCAACAAAUGCUUCGUUUGUAAUGGGUUUUAUUGGUUUUGUCUCGUUGUGCCGGGACACAUGGCAUCACACUAUAAUAAGGGCAUAACAUUUCCGUCACACGCUUGAGGCAUUCAGCCAAUCACAACGGCACUGGAUAGCUGGCCAAUCAUUGUACACCUUGCUUUUCAGAACUAUGAGCCUUGUAAAAAUCUACGCAUUUCAGAAAGGAGGGGCAUUGUUAAAAGUAUUGCGCCCUUAUACAUUAGAUUACGGUAUACAAAAUUAGCUUUAGUUUCUAUUUGGAGGUAUACGGUUGUGUACGUGAUGACGUUAUAUCAUUACGUGAUGUUCUCAGAAAAAGAAAGAAAAGAUGUUGAACUGAUGUUAUGUUCAAGUGAUGCUGCUAAAAUNCCACACGCGAGUGAAAGUGAAUAGCGCACUCGGGUGCUCAACAGGUUAUGGGCCCAGUCACGGAAACAAACGAGCGUGAGUAAAGUUAAGUUCAGUCAGACGCGACGUAUAACGCGUGCUAUAAAUCUAACGAUAAAGCUAAACUGAAGAAACAUAUAAGAAGAAAGGUCGGUGAUCCUACAAAAUGGCGAACAGAGCGGUAGGAGUCAUGGCACACUCUUUGUUUGAUGGAUCUGAAGAUAAAUAUGAUCUUUGGGAAACGAGAUUCUUAAGCUAUCUACACACUCUAAAGCUAAAAGAGACUAUUUUGCAUGAGCCCACCGGUGCUAAUGAAGAACAGCUAGCUGAAGACAGACGGAAGAACGCUGAUUGCUAUGCUGAACUUGUAAGACUGAUAGAUGAUAAAAGCCUAUCACUGAUAAGACAUGAAUCUGCUGACGAUGGCAGGAAAGCCCUAAGAAUACUGAAAGAACAUUAUUCAGGGAAAAGCAAGCCACGGAUAAUAAAUAUGUACACAUCGUUAACUCAACUACGCAUGUCAGACAAUGAGAGUGUUACAGACUACUUGAUAAGAGCAGAGAACAUCAUCACAGCACUGAGAGAUGCAGGAGAAACCAUGAGUGAUGGAUUAACCAUAGCGAUGGUUCUUCGUGGAUUACCUGAUAUUUUCAAGCCGCUAGCCGUCCACAUAACACAGAAUGAGGACGACGUUACAUUCACAGAUUUUAAGAGAAGACUGCGGAUUUACGAAGAGGCGGAGAAAAUGAAAGGAACAGAAUCCACAGAUAAUGUGAUGAAGACACAGACGAGACAAGGAAAGGGUCCUGCCAGGUACCACACUAAAGAAAGAAAAGAUGAAGACACAAAUAUGACAUGUUACAAAUGUGGAAUAAAGGGACACAGAGCGAGAAAAUGUUACAAGAUUCGACACNAA
ensembl:lncRNA